UGAACAUCCGUAAUAUGUUGACUAUUCUUUAAUCUUAAUAAAAAUCAAUAUUAACUUUGCCAAAGAAUUUGCGUUUUUAGUAAUUGCAAACAUAAAAAAUCGUUUGACGGAUAUAGUAGUUGCAGUGUUAACGAUCGAACAAUGGUAUUGAAAUACUUGAAACAAAUGCCUAUGUUAAAUUCACGAAACAAUCCUUUCGCCACGGAAGGAGGCAUUCAAAUUAAUCGUUUCCACCAAGAAUCAGGGUGACGUUCUAAUUCCUUUGAAAUCGUGAUUGUUUGAAGACGGCGUCCAAUGGCGGGGUAAUUAAUAACACCGACGUGGCACGUGGCCAAAAAUUAUAUUGCCAACGCUCGUAACGCCAAACAGCGAGGUCGGACGUUAAAGACACGCGAAUAGAAAGCGAGAGAGAGAGAGAGAGAGAGAGAGAGAGAGAGCUUUAAGCUACUGGCUGAGUACGUUGUCAUCCGCUCUGCUGAACAUCGCGCCAGGAUCAGGGUUAAUGCUUCUGUUCGAUGGGAGUCUGCCUUCUGAUGCGACUGGGGGAACAAGUGCUCGGAUUCUACUGUUUCUUAUACGCGAGAAUUACGUUUACGCUAAAUCGGGGAAUUCUGUAGCUCAACCAUAUUGUGAUUACUGGAUUCCAUUCUACAAAUGUUAAGGCUGCUUUCAUACCUAGAAUACAUGUGGAAAUGUUUCGAUAUAAACGACAAUUUGCUUAAAUUCAAGAUGAACCGAGAAAACGCUAGAAUUCGUUAGCAGCAGCCCCUCGCUCAUUUAUCACGUGCACAAGGGCAACGUGUAUAUUUCGGGGGUUGUAGCCGACGGAAAUGCAGGAAGUGUCUCUAGCCACCUUAUCUCCGACCCCGAGAGCGCGUAUGCUAAAUUGAAUAUGAAAUUACGUGGCUUAUCGCCCCCCCGAAUGCAAGCAAAUGUGAUAGCACAGUGUUAAGCGAUUUUCUACUAGUCAUCAUCUUCAAUUUUCCUUGAGUUUUUCGUUUAGAUAAUUUUUAUCCAUACUUAACAAACAAAGAAAAAUCGUUUAACAAUCUUCAUUUUGAUUCAAUUCAGAAUUUUUACUUUUAAUUAAUAAUCAACGAUUAAAACAUAAAAAAAGUUAUUUUUGUUGUUUCUAAGUAAUAAUCACGAGUUUGAAUAGUCAACUUGUUGUACA